AGUGAACGCUGGCGGCAGGCCUAACACAUGCAAGUCGAACGGUAACAGGAAGAAGCUUGCUUCUUUGCUGACGAGUGGCGGACGGGUGAGUAAUGUCUGGGAAACUGCCCGAUGGAGGGGGAUAACUACUGGAAACGGUAGCUAAUACCGCAUAACGUCGCAAGACCAAAGAGGGGGACCUUUGGGCCCCUUGCCAUCGGAUGUGCCCAGAUGGGAUUAGCUAGUAGGGGGGGUAACGGCUCACCUAGGCGACGAUCCCUAGCUGGUCUGAGAGGAUGACCAGCCACACUGGAACUGAGACACGGUCCAGACUCCUACGGGAGGCAGCAGUGGGGAAUAUUGCACAAUGGGCGCAAGCCUGAUGCAGCCAUGCCGCGUGUAUGAAGAAGGCCUUCGGGUUGUAAAGUACUUUCAGCGGGGAGGAAGGGAGUAAAGUUAAUACCUUGGCUCAUUGACGUUACCCGCAGAAGAAGCACCGGCUAACUCCGUG
rnacentral:rRNA from 1 species